UACGUAGGGGGCAAGCGUUGUCCGGAAUCAUUGGGCGUAAAGCGCGCGUAGGUGGCCUCAUAAGUCCGCUGUGAAAGUCAAAGGCUCAACCUUUGAAAGCCGGUGGAUACUGUGAGGCUAGAGUACGGAAGAGGCGAGUGGAAUUCCUGGUGUAGCGGUGGAAUGCGCAGAUAUCAGGAGGAACACCAAUAGCGAAGGCAGCUCGCUGGGACGUUUACUGACACUGAGGCGCGAAAGCGUGGGGAGCGAACAGG
rnacentral:rRNA from 1 species